CUAGACCUGAAAUCAGUCGAGGACACCCGCUGAAUUUAAGCAUAUUAUUAAGCGGAGGAAAAGAAAAUAACUAUGAUUCCCUUAGUAACGGCGAGUGAAGAGGGAGGUGCUCAAAGUGAAAAUCGUGGUACCUCUUAUGGUACCGCGAGUUGUAGCCUCUAGAGGCGUUACCAGUGGAGGGGCAGGUCUAAGUUUCUUGGAACAGAACUUUCAGGAGAG
rnacentral:rRNA from 1 species